GAUGAAGAACGUAGCGAAAUGCGAUAAGUAAUGUGAAUUGCAGAAUUCAGUGAAUCAUCGAAUCUUUGAACGCACAUUGCGCCCGCGAGUAUUCUCGCGGGCAUGCCUGUCCGAGCGUCAUUUCAACCCUCAGGGCCCGCCUGCUUGCAGGCGCGGCGCUGGUGUUGGGGAUCGGCUACCCUGCCGUCCCCCAAAUACAGUGGCGGUCUCGCUGCAGCCUCCCCUGCGUAGUAGCAACACUCGCAUGCGGAGCGCGGCGCGGCCACGCCGUAAAACCCCCGACUUUCUGAACGUUGACCUCGGAUCAGGUAGGAAUACCCGCUGAACUUAAGCAUAUCAAUAAGCGGAGGA
rnacentral:misc_RNA from 1 species